rnacentral:tRNA from 1 species
UCUGAUGUAUUUCAAUGGUAGAAAACUGCUCUCAUAAGGCAGUAGCUAGUGGUUCGAGUCCACUCAUCAGAA